CAAAGAUUAUAGAGGAGCAAGAUAGACCACUCACUCCUCGAAAAACGCGUAGUAUCACGUGUGUGACCGUCGACGCCAUUUUUUGAGGCAUUUAUUGGGCUUCCCCCACACUGUCAUGGCUCCUUAUCUAAAUUCCAUCUCACUGCUCUGCUAUCAAGUAUUCUAAUCGUAAAUCUAAACGACCCGACCUGUCACUCUUUAGGUUCCCCAAUAAAAAAGAAAGUGCUACAAUCUCUGGUAUUUUCACACGGGUAUUCUCUCCGAGCCCAUCUGGAAUAAAAUUGAAGAAUACAGUAUUUUAUUCUCAUUGCUAAGAUGUCGACAGUGGGUCCAGAAUACUUGUUGACAAGAUCUCCGACACCGAACUACGGAGUACUUGUCAAAGAACUGCCGUCUUUGUUCUGAACACCCUGUAUAUCUCACACAUAAAACAAUAAAUUAUGUAAAUCUUACCAUAAAUGACAGAAAUAAAAAGUGUUAUCCUUUUUUUAUGAAUUUUGAUGUAGAAUUAUUUAAAAUUGAGUGGAUUGAUGCAAUAUACUGCUAACCCACAAAUGUUUAGUUAUGAGAUAUUCACAUUUAAAAACUCACUCAGUAGCUCGGGUGGCUGUGAGCGACCGCUGGGACCGGAGAGCGGAACCGCAGCUAGACCCGGGGCUCGCAGGCGAAUUCCUAAAAUGGCAGAAGUGACGUUCCG